UCUUCUUAUGCUCCAGACAGGCUCAAAACAUAUCAUAUUGGUUCUUCAUGUUGAUAAACUACCACUUCCCUGAUGACUAAAAAAGUAAAACAAAUUUCUACUGUACUGUGGAGUGGUUAUGUAGAUCUGUUUCACCCUCCACAUAACAAAAAUAGGGCAAGAAGAGCAUCCAUGAUAUAGUAUAGUCCCUGCAACACAUGACUUAAUAUAGAACCAAGCCAAAGUUUGGAAAUCUUUACAAGUCGAGACAAUGCCUAUUGUACAAAAUGUCUCCACUAAUCUAUGUCAGUCUCCUACAGGGUGAGAUUUACAGUCCAUUCAAGCAAGAAGUUAUAUGUUGGAAGACAUCUUCGCUGCAAGGAAUUGUGAGGCCACCCAUGGGAUGAUCAUAUCCAAACUCUUCCUCAGCUUGACUCAACAAUUCUUGGAAUGAAGGUUGAUUCAAGUAUGAUACAGGGAUCACAAAGCGCUUCAUUUUAUCUCCAACAUAGGCUGCAAGAUAUCCCUUUGGCACGUCCACUGUUUUUGAAGAUACUUGAUUUGCAGCAAAUAAUGCCCUUCUGAUACUAGGUAAAUGAAAACCCAUUGUUAUAUUGAUUGCGUUAGAGACUGGAGAAGAGAAUUGUCUAAGAAAAGACUUUAAAAUAAACUUUUGAAUUUUGAAUGCUUCAGGAUGUGAAUGAUUUGUGUUGGUCCUAACUUCUUGCAGCCAUAAGUAUAUAUAGAUAUGUAAGAAACCAUAGGCUAGUUGAAUUAUUGGUGAAGGAGGGCUAUGAGAUAUGGGACCAAAUGAGAGACAAGGCAUAUGGUGUUGUCUUAGAGGACUUUCUCAUGAUUCAACAAUACAUGUUAUAGUAGAAAAUACAAGUCCCACCUUCUGGAACAGAUUACCCCACUUGAAAUGAAACAGCUGCUUCUAUGAAAAAAGAAAAUCUAAUUGAUCAUGUUAACACUUAUCUGUGGUGGCAGGUAGGAGCCACAAACUUCAUUUAUGUAAAUUUCACGCUGUGUUUCUUAGAAUUUGAUGUACAGAAAACAAAUGUAGUUCAUAAUGCCUUGUGAUCAUGUAUUCAAUGUUGGUUCUCUUCUUAUCUCCAAAGACGGUUUCAGAGCUACCAAUCAGCUCGGCUCAGCUCAAGCCUCAAUGUUUACAGAUUGCUUAUUGUCACUUAGAUAUUAGUUGGUACAUGGUAGAUAUAUAUCUAUCUAUAUUAUUAUCAUCUUCUUUAAAGAAACAUGUGAAAUGUCUAAAGCAUGUCUAUCAUUGAAAAUACUAUAGCUCAAUAUUAGAUUUCACCAUUGCUGAUGUAUUUAUGUUCAAGUGGGUAAAUCUGUUCGCCAUUAUCUCAGAAGGUGGGGUAUGGUAUGCACUCCCAUUUAUCUUCCUAAUCCUUGAAAGCAACCUCUUAAGACAACACCAUGUGAUUAUGUGAUCCCUUGCCCCUAAAAAACACUCAUGGUGGAAUUGGAUUGCUGUUGCAGAGGGCCCAUUAGUGACUAUAUAUACACUAUUUCUAGUGUUCUCAAGCAACACAAGUCAUUUGCAUCCUGAAGCAUCAGGGUUCAAAUAUUUCUUUCCCAUACAAGUCUUUUGGCAUCACUUGGCAUAUUACUUGUUUGUGGAGCCAAAAAAAAAA